rnacentral:tRNA from 1 species
GCAGGCGUAGCUCAAUGGCAGAGCGCUCGCUUCCCAAGCCAGACACGCGGGUUCGAUUCCCGUCGCCUGCUCCA